rnacentral:rRNA from 1 species
CCUACGGGUGGCAGCAGUAGGGAAUUUUCGUCAAUGGGCGCAAGCCUGAACGAGCAAUGCCGCGUGAACGAGGAAGGUCUUCGGAUCGUAAAGUUCUGUUGAAGGGGAAAAAGAGCGGAGAGAGGAAAUGCUUUCUGAUUGAUAUUACCCUUCGAGGAAGUCACGGCUAACUACGUGCCAGCAGCCGCGGUAAUACGUAGGUGGCGAGCGUUAUCCGGAAUGAUUGGGUUUAAAGGGUGCGUAGGCGGUUUUUUAAGUUAGUGGUUAAACGUCGGGGCUUCACCUUGAUUUGCCAUUAAUACUGUAAGACUCGAGUUCAGACGAGGUAGGCGGAAUAAGUUAAGUAGCGGUGAAAUGCUUAGAUAUAACUUAGAACUCCGAUAGCGAAGGCAGCUUACCAGACUGCGACUGACGCUGAAGCACGAGAGUGUGGGUAGCGAACAGGAUUAGAUACCCUAGUAGUC